GUGCUCACUUCAGCAGGACAUGUACUAAAAUUGGAAUGAUAAAGAGAAGAUUAGCAUGGCCCCUGCACAAGGAUGACUGGCAAAUUCGUGAAGUUUCCAUAUUUUGU